GGUGGUGUAGUGUAAUGGUAUCACGUGGUGUUGUGGUCCCCGCUUCAAUCUGGGUUCGAUUCCCAGCACCGCCA